UACGGAGGGUGCAAGCGUUAUCCGGAUUCACUGGGUUUAAAGGGUGCGUAGGUGGGUCUGUAAGUCAGUGGUGAAAUCUUCGAGCUUAACUCGGAAACUGCCAUUGAUACUAUAGGUCUUGAAUUAUCUGGAGGUAAGCGGAAUAUGUCAUGUAGCGGUGAAAUGCUUAGAUAUGACAUAGAACACCAAUUGCGAAGGCAGCUUACUACCCGAAUAUUGACACUGAGGCACGAAGCGUGGGAUCAAACAGG
rnacentral:rRNA from 1 species